AGCGAACGCUGGCGGCAGGCUUAACACAUGCAAGUCGAGCGGGCCCUUCGGGGUCAGCGGCCGACGGGUGAGUAACACGUGGGAACGUACCCUUUGGUUCGGAAUAACGCUGGGAAACUAGCGCUAAUACCGGAUACGCCCUUUUGGGGAAAGGCUUGCUGCCGAAGGAUCGGCCCGCGUCUGAUUAGCUAGUUGGUGGGGUAAUGGCCUACCAAGGCGACGAUCAGUAGCUGGUCUGAGAGGAUGAUCAGCCACACUGGGACUGAGACACGGCCCAGACUCCUACGGGAGGCAGAAGUGGGGAAUAUUGGACAAUGGGCGCAAGACUGAUCCAGCCAUGCCGCGUGAGUGAUGAAGGCCUUAGGGUUGUAAAGCUCUUUUGUCCGGGACGAUAAUGACGGUACCGGAAGAAUAAGCCCCGGCUAACUUCGUG
rnacentral:rRNA from 1 species